rnacentral:rRNA from 1 species
UACAUUGGGUGCAAACGUUGCUCGGAAUUAUUGGGCGUAAAGCGCGCGUAGGCGGUUACUCAAGUCGGAUGUGAAAGCCCUCGGCUUAACUGAGGAAGUGCACCCGAAACUGAGUAGCUAGAGUACUAAAGAGGGUCGCGGAAUUCCCGGUGUAGAGGUGAAAUUCGUAGAUAUCGGGAGGAACACCGGUGGCGAAGGCGGCGACCUGGGACAAUACUGACACUGAGGUGCGAAAGCGUGGGGAGCAAACAGG